rnacentral:rRNA from 1 species
AGCAGCCGCGGUAAUUCCAGCUCCAAUAGCGUAUAUUAAGGUUGUUGCAGUUAAAAAGCUCGUAGUUGAAUUUCGGGAUCGAUACGUCGGUCGUGCCUUCGGUACGCACUGGCGUUUAUCGAUUUCUCCCUUCUGACGAACCAUGAUGUCAUUAAUUUGGUGUUAUGGGGAAUCAGGACUGUUACUUUGAAAAAAUUAGAGUGUUUAAAGCAGGCAUUAGCUUGAAUACAUUAGCAUGGAAUAAUGAAAUAGGACGUUCGAACCUAUUUUGUUGGUUUCUAGGAUCAACGUAAUGAUUAAUAGGGAUAGUUGGGGGCAUUAGUAUUCAAUUGUCAGAGGUGAAAUUCUUGGAUUUAUUGAAGACUAACUACUGCGAAAGCAUUUGCCAAGGAUGUUUUCAUUAAUCAAGAACGAAAGUUAGGGGAUCGAAGACGAUCAGAUACCGUCGUAGUCUUAACCAUAAACUAUGCCGACUAGGGAUCGGAUGAUGUUAAUUUUUAACGACUCAUUCGGCGCCUUA